rnacentral:rRNA from 1 species
UACGUAGGGUGCAAGCGUUAAUCGGAAUUACUGGGCGUAAAGCGUGCGCAGGCGGUUUUGUAAGUCUGACGUGAAAGCCCCGGGCUUAACCUGGGGAAUUGCGUUGGAGACUGCAAGGCUUGAAUCUGGCAGAGGGGGGUAGAAUUCCACGUGUAGCAGUGAAAUGCGUAGAGAUGUGGAGGAACACCGAUGGCGAAGGCAGCCCCCCUGGGUCAAGAUUGACGCUCAUGCACGAAAGCGUGGGGAGCAAACAGG